rnacentral:rRNA from 1 species
CGCUGGCGGCAGGCCUAACACAUGCAAGUCGAGCGGAAACGAGUUAUCUGAACCUUCGGGGAACGAUAACGGCGUCGAGCGGCGGACGGGUGAGUAAUGCCUAGGAAAUUGCCCUGGUGUGGGGGAUAACCAUUGGAAACGAUGGCUAAUACCGCAUAAUACCUUCGGGUCAAAGAGGGGGACCUUCGGGCCUCUCGCGUCAGGAUAUGCCUAGGUGGGAUUAGCUAGUUGGUGAGGUAAUGGCUCACCAAGGCGACGAUCCCUAGCUGGUCUGAGAGGAUGAUCAGCCACACUGGAACUGAGACACGGUCCAGACUCCUACGGGAGGCAGCAGUGGGGAAUAUUGCACAAUGGGCGCAAGCCUGAUGCAGCCAUGCCGCGUGUGUGAAGAAGGCCUUCGGGUUGUAAAGCACUUUCAGUCGUGAGGAAGGUAGUGUAGUUAAUAGCUGCAUUAUUUGACGUUAGCGACAGAAGAAGCACCGGCUAACUCCGUGCCAGCAGCCGCGGUAAUACGGAGGGUGCGAGCGUUAAUCGGAAUUACUGGGCGUAAAGCGCAUGCAGGUGGUUUGUUAAGUCAGAUGUGAAAGCCCGGGGCUCAACCUCGGAAUAGCAU